UAAACACAUAGGUUUAAAUAAUUUAGCCCAAAAAUGAAAUCGGAAUGAAUCGAUAAACGGCGAGUUUUACGGGUAGAACAGGUUUUCGGCGAUGAACAAAUUCGGGUUGUUACAGUUCGGGACUUGGUGCCCUAUUUAAACGUCUCAUUCUCUUCCCUAGGGUUCAUAUGCAGUCUCUCUCACCCAGAAUACCGAACCCUAGCCACCAUAUCCAUUUUGAGCAAGAUCUAGCCUUAGUAAAGUGAUUUGAAGCUUGGAAGAGAAGGAGGUUCAUAGUGGCGCAAGAGGAAGCCUUUGAUUCAUAGUUGGUGUGACUUUGCACAUCCUUUGAGGUAAUAAGCUGACCUUAUUGCAUUUGGAUAUAUCUUAUGGUUGAGAUUUGGGCAUUUUGAGUAUGGAUGAGGUUUAUUUCGAUUUUGGAGUAGAUCUGAGGUUACUACCUCAGAUCUAGGCUAUUAAGGAUCCAGAAAGCCAUAAAGUUUAUGCCAAUAAGUUGUUGGUGAAGCCCCUUUGUGACAUCCCCAAAAUCACGUCCAUAAAAGAAUGAUUUCAUUUAUGCUUUUAAAAUAAUUUCAGAGUAAAUCCUUUUGAUUUGAAAGAGUUGCGGAAUUUGUUCCCAAAAACAAAGUAUGAUAAAAUAAUAUUUACCAAAACAUUUCAUAAAGAAAUGUAUUUUCAUUAUAUAAUCACAACUCGGGAUGUCAUGUUCCAAUACAUACCAUAAAGCAUAAACGAUAACAUUACAAGUCAUUCAACAAAUAUAUACAUAUACAGACUUGUAAACAAAACAACUUGAUGAUUCAUCCAUCUUAUUACCUUGCGCCACUUCCUGUAAUACAAAUAAAACUGAGUGGGUCAGGCUUGGGAGCCUGGUGAGCAUAUAGGGUUUUCAACCCGCGAUAAAUAAUUAUAUUUACUUUUACCAACCAACAAUAACCCGAUUACCCAUUCCCGUUAUCCUUACUUUACCUCCCUAAAACAACAUCUAUCUCAAGGGACCUAAUCUAGGAUUUUCAUCGGGACGGACAUUAUUGCUAAGGGGUUUCCUCAACAAUAGAUGUCCUAAAGGUAACCAUGAGGGGGAUAGAGUACAACGGUUAACACAUCGUUCACAACACCUACAGGUUAUGAGCCUGCUAGCAUUCCACAGGACUGUCUAGAAAGAGUCUGUGGUCAUUAUCCAUACUCUGCUGAAUAACUAGAUCAACAACAACAACAUCGAGAUCUCUCAUCUGUUUAUCACACAUCAACUAUCUACCCAUGUUCUACCCAACAUAUUAGUAGAUGAAAAUAUAUAUAUAUAUAUAUAUUUUUAUACAUAGUUUAAAACCUAUAUAGCAUUCUCAUUCAAUACAUAUUCCAAACAACAGAUGAGACACAUACACAUAACACGUAUUUCAUAGAGAAUAAAUCAUAUCUUUGAGAUAGAAGAAAGUGAAUAUGCAUUCACACAUAUAACAACAAAAUAUACACAUAACAUGUAUUUCGUAUAAAAUACUUCAUAAUUAUGUGUAAGAAGAAAGGAACUACACACUUACUUGAUCAGAAGAUGAUCGGACAACACUAAGACUUGCAGAAGUAGCAUUCUUCAGUAGAUCUGAAAGAUCUUCACAAAAAUUGGCUUCUCGCGGGCAGAGCUUCGACUCGGGAAUCUCACUUCUCGGGAACUUCGGGGCUUCGGAACUUGCUUCGGGGCUUGGGAUUAAUACCGGGGCUUCGGGAUAUUUCUGGCACGCAAAACGAUGCAAACGGGAGAAAGAGAAGAGAAAAAGAGCAAAAAGAUCGGCUGCCCUCGCAUGCUAUUUAUAGGGGCUGAGCUUCGGGGUUACGUUGGGCGUAACUUCGGAGUACGUUGGGCGUACGCGACCAAAAACGUCACUGCUUACGUCUUCGGAGUACUCGAGUGCGAGGCUGGUCAUGCUUCGCUGUACGUUGGGCGUACAGCCUUACAUUGGGCGUAACCCGGAUAAGUCUGAUGACUCCCCUUCGGAUAAUAUCAGGUUUAAUAAUUAAAUUUAUAUUUUAAUUAUUUAAUAAACUUCAAAAAAUCAUAUCUUCUUCAUACAAACUCUGAUUUCGACGUUCUUUAUAUCCACGCGAAUGUGAGACUACGCUCUACAACUUUUGUUUAGACUUGAUUGGCUAAUUUUGAUUUUAUUUUUAUUAUUUAUUUUUUAGUAGGCCGGGACAGAAAAACUUCGUUAGAAAUUUAUAACUUCUUCAUCUGAUGUCCGUUUUCGUCCCUCUUUCUAUCGUUGCACUACCAUCGACGAGAUCUUCGAUUCUCGUUUAGAAAUUUUUGGCUAAAACUCUCUCGAUCUCAAUUCGAACUUUUGGGUUGUCUACUACUAAGUUGAAACUUCGAAAAAUCAUAACUUCCUCAUACGAAGUCAGAUUAAGGCGUUCUUUUUAUGCACGCUCUCGGUUCAACAUUAUCUACGUCUUUCAUGUUGAUCACUAAGGCUAAAUAUCACUCCUUCGUAAAUUCACUAUUUACGUCACCCUGUGCCUCAGCAGUUUUGUCGCGAAACUUCGACAGGUCAUAACUUCUUCGUUAUAACUCGGAUUUCAGCAUUCUUUAUAUUUUCGGAAACCUCGUCUCAACUACGACAACAUUAACCAUAGAUAUCGGCUUUAUCUAAUAUUUCAUUUUGACGCUUAUUUUUAUUCUUAAUUAAAUUAGGACACACAAUUAAGCACAAAACACAUAAUACUCAAAUAAUACACCUUUAUUAUUUCAAGAUGUGUUACAAAGUUUAACCUAGACUAUUAAAUUGCUUUUAAUGACAAGCCCGGAAACACGGGCAUUACAAUUCUCUCCACCUUAGAAUGAUUUCGUCCCCGGAAUCACACAUCAACAAACAAAUGCGGGUAGCGAGUCGUCAUGUCACUCUCCGUUUCCCAGGUGAGAUUUGGCCCAUUCGUGUGUUUCCAUCGGACAAGCACUAAUUCGACCAUCUUGCGUCGCAACUUCUUAGUCUUUCAGUCAACGAUUACCUCUGGUUCUUCAAUCAACCUUUUGUUCUCAUCGAUUCUCAACUCCGAAAGUGGAAUCAUAUCAGUAAAUUCUCCCGUAAAAUUUCUCAAAUAACACACAUGGAAAGUGUUAUGAAUUCCAUUCAGUUCUUCUAGUAGUUCGAGCUUGUAAGCUUGGUUCCCAAUCCUCUGAAGAACUUUAAACGAUCCAAUAAACCUUGGACUUAAUUUUCCCCUUUUACCAAAUCUUAUAAGUCCCUUCCAUGUCGAGACUUUAAGCAAAACCAAAUCUCCAACUUCAAAAGUCAUCGGUCUUCGCUUGUUGUCAGCAUAGCUCUUUUGACGAUCCUGAGCGGCUAACAUUCUUUCCCUNAGCAGUUUGAUGGACUAUCUCCGACCCCAUAAACUGCUUUUCCUCAGCCUCAAGCCAACAAGACGGUGUACGACACUUCUGCCCGUACAAAGCUUGAUAAGGUGCCAUCUUAAUGCUCGAGUGGAAACUAUUAUUGUAGCAAAAUUCUACCAAAGGUAAAUGUUCAUCCCAAUUACCUUGGAAUUCCAGGGUACACGCUCUCAGCAUAUCUUCAAGUGAUUGUAUCGUCCGUUCGCUCUGACCAUCAGUCUGUGGAUGGUAAGCUGUACUCAAACACAACUUGGUACCCAAUUCCUCUUGUAGACUUUUCCAAAACCUUGAGGUGAAACGACUAUCACGAUCCGACACAAUCGUUAGCGGAACACCGUGAAGCCUCAUACUUUCUUUCACGUAAGAAUUCGCAAGCUUCUCCAUAGACCAUUUCUCCUUGGCUGCUAUGAAAUGCGCACUCUUAGUGAAUCGAUCAACGACCACCCAAAUCAUGUCGUGACCACUUUUCGCUCUGGGCAGUUUAGUGACAAAAUCCAUAGCAAUGUCUUCCCACUUACCCAUAGGCACAUGCAAUGGUUCUAAACUCCCGUACGGUUUCUGAUGUUGUGUCUUUCCCCUCGCACAAGUCACACACUCGGCCACAUACUUUGCAACAUCAAGCUUUAUCGUCGGCCACCAGUAGUAGGGUUUUAGUUCCCUAUACAUUUUAGUGCUACCGAGAUGAAUCGAGUACAUGGUUUUGUGAGCUUCUUCCAUCAGAAGAUCUCUGACUCCUCCUGUCUUAGGUAUCCAAAUAUGAUCUUGGAACACCUUUAGUCCAUGACUAUUUAUACCGAACACCAACGUCUUGCCCAAACGUUCCUCCUUUCGGUCAUUCUUCUCAGAAGCUUCCUCUUGAGCUUUCUUUAUACUCUCCACAAUUAUCGAGACAACUUCUAUUCUCAACACUCUUGGCCUUUUUCUUUCAAGAUUGACUUUCCGACUGAGAGCAUCAGCAACAACAUUAGCUUUACCGGGGUGGUAAAGUAUCUCACAGUCAUAGUCUUUAAGUAAUUCUAGCCAACGUCGCUGCCUCAUGUUCAAUUCUUUCUAACUAAAGAGAUAUUGGAGACUCUUAUGAUCGGUGAAAAGUUUGCACUUCGUGUCAUAGAGGUAAUGCCUCUAUAUUUUUAGAGCAAAAACUACCGCUGCCAACUCCAAAUCAUGAGUCGGAUAGUUCUUUUCAUGCUCCUUCAACUGUCGAGAUGCAUAUGUGAUCACCUUAUCUCUUUGGGUCAAAACACAACCCAAUCCAACACCAGACGCAUCGCUAUAAACAGUGAAGUCUUCAACUCCAUCGGGUAGAGAUAAAAUCGGUGCCUCGUAUAACAUCUUCUUUAGCUUCUCGAAUGCUUCUUUAUGUUUAUCACUCCAAGCAUAUGUAGCUGCCUUGUGGGUCAAAGCUGUUAAUGGACUAGCGAUCAAAGAAAAGCCUUGGAUAAACCUUCGGUAAUAUCCGGCUAAUCCUAAAAAGCUUCGGAUCUCUGUGGAACUUUUCGGUUGUUCCCACUUCAUUACAACUUCAAUCUUUGCUGGAUCAAUCAUUAUACCUUCUUGGUUGACCAUGUGACCCAAGAAUUGGACUUCUCGAAUCCAAAAAUCGCAUUUGGAGAACUUAGCAUACAGCUUCUCCUUCUUCAAGACUUCCAACAAUUCUCGCAAGUGUCUGCCAUGCUCCUCUUGGCUUUUCGAGCAAAUCAGAAUGUCAUCUAUGAACACUAUCACCGAUUUAUCUAGGAAUGGAUUACAAACCCUGUUCAUUAAAUCCAUGAAUGUUUUUGGAGCAUUGGUUAGUACAAACGACAUAACCAAAAACUUGUAGUGUCCAUAUCGUGUUCUGAAUGCAUUCUUCUCUAUAUCCUGCUCUCUUACUUUUAGCUGAUGAUAUCCUGACCUAAGAUCGAUCUUUGAGAAAUAACUUGAGCCUUGCAGCUAAUCGAACAGGUCAUCAAUCCUCGGCAACAGAUAUCUAUUCUUUAUUGUUGCCUUAUUCAGCUCUCUAUAGUCGAUGCACAUUCUCAUACUUCCAUCUUUCUUCUUCACGAAUAACACCGGAGCUCCCCAGGGUGAUGAGCUAGGUCUAAUGAAACCUUUGUCCAAUAACUCCUGAAGUUGCAUCAUCAGCUCCUUCAUCUCCAUCGGUGCUAAUUGAUAAGAUGCUUUUGCUAUAGGUGUCGUCCCUGGUAACAAGUCGAUACGGAAUUCUACUUCUCGAUCAGGCGGUAAUCCAGGAAGACCUUUGGGAAAUACUUCCGGAUAACCACACACGAAAGGAAUGCUCCGCAUCUCCUUUUUCUCCUUCUUAGCAUCGAUCACAAAUGCUAGAUACGAUGUACAUCCUUUGGCCAAACACUUUCUGGCUUUAAUUAGAGAAAUGAUCCCAAAACUCACUCUGUGUUUGUCCCCAUACACCAUAAAUGACUCUUUCCUUGGCGGGUUUACUUUGACUAUCUUCUUUCUGCAUAAUAUCGCGGUGUCAUUGGCGCUAAGCCAAUCCAUUCCCAAAACGAUAUCGAAACCAUUCAGUUCUAUAGGCAAUAAUUCCUCGUGGAACUUAUUCCCAUUCAAGUCAAUUAAGAUGUUUUUCAUACAAUGGCUAACAUGUACAAACUUACCGCUAGCAACUUCGACUAAUAAAGCAUUAUCUAGUCUAUCGACAGGCAAAGCUAGUUUUCUACCAAAUUCAUGCGAUAUAAAGGAGUAGUUGGCUCCAGAAUCAAAUAAAAUUUGGGCAGGCAAUUUGUUUAUGAGAAAGGUACCGGAAGCGACAUCAGCUUCAUCUUGAGCAGCUUCCAGUGUCAUUUGGAAUGCUCUCGCCUUCGGCUUUGGCGGAAUGUUGGGUUUUGCUGCCUCCUUCUUUUUCGGACAAUCUCUUGAGAUGUGCCACUCCUCAUCGCAACCAUAGAAAAAUUUCUUGGUGAGGGUGCAUUCGUUGGCAUAAUGCACUGGCUUUCCACAUUUGAAGCAUGUGGCCUCCCCGCCACAUUUCCCAUGAUGCUUCUUCUUGCAUUUGUCGCACCAUUUCGCUUCGCCUCCUCCACCUCCUCUCAAACUAGACUUUGAGAAUUUACCCUUUUUGUUGGACCCCGAGGGUCCAUCGAUUUUCCUCCUUUCACCAACUUCUGACCUUUCCAGACCUUUCUCCCUGAUCUGGGUCUCAACAUUUCUAGCAGCCCAGAUGGCGGCUUUUAAUGUGGUUGCUUGCUUAACCUUUGGACCAUAGUCCGCUGGUAGUCUGAGGGCAAACUUGUUGACCUUAGAGAGUUCUGUUGGUACUAAAUAUGGGAUAAGAUUCAUCUUUUCUGUGAAACUAGCAGCGUAUUCAGUAAUGCUCAAUUUCCCUUCUUCAAAUUUUGAAACUCAUUAUUGAUUUCGAGAAGGUCCUGCUCGGAGUAGUAUUGCAGACUCAGUUGUUCCACAAAGUCAUCCCAAGACAUUUUGCUCGCUUCUCCCUUUGGCAUAGAGUUAGCUAACAACUUCCACCAACUCAACACGCCAGAUUUUAGCAAAGGGAUCGCAAGAGCGGUGUUCUGCCUGUUGCUGCAUUCGCAACUUUCAAACAUUGUCUCCAUUUCGGAGAUCCAAUCCAUAACUUGCACCGGCAUCGGGCUUCCGGAUAGACGUGGUGUUUUGGAUGCCAUGAAAUCCUUGUACUUACAUCCGCGCCCAUCAUUUCCUCCAUACUGGUUGUUGUGUCUAACCACCGGUGGGUCGUCUUGACCAACGAUCCCACUAAAGUUUCCUCCUGCAGACUGCCCUCCAUUCUCCUCGGGCUCUUACACUUGAAUUGACGGUUUUUCACAAUUCUGCCUAAGCAGACGUCUUGUUUCUUCCAUCUGACGAUCCAACAUUGUUUGAAUCAUCAUUUGCACACCAGCCAUGGUUAUUGGCUCAGGUGCUGCUGCUACGACAGGUAUUUGCUCAAUCACUGGUGGUUGAUUCCUGUUUUCAUCAGCAUUUCCAACUCCACUUCUUGUUCUCACCAUUUUUGAUCUAUACACCGAAUAAGGUGAAAUUAGAUCCUCAUUCACGAUAGAUAAUUAAAUCAUCCUUAUCACUCCGAAACGUUUACAUGUUAGUUCUAAUAUCGUAACCAUACGCUUCGAAUCCUAUACACAUAAGGUUUCCAGAUCCGGUCGGCAACAGACCAUAGAUCCAAACAAAUAAUAUCAUAUAUGGCAACAUAUAACAUUUAGCACAUAAAGGCAUUUUAGGCAACUUCCUAAAAUAAACUAAUGCCCGUGUCUAAAAUACCAUAAACACACAUCUCACAAUCUCCACUUAACAUUCUAAGUUUAAUUCUAGAAAUCCUACAAAUUCCUAGUUCACUUAAACUAAUGCUCUGAUACCAACUGUGACAUCCCCAAAAUCACGGCCAGAAAAGACCGAUUUCAUUUAUGCUUUUUAAAAUAAUUUCAGAGUAAAUCCUUUUGAUUUAAAAGAGUUGCGGAAUUUGUUCCCAAAACAAAACAUGAUAAAAUAAUAUUUAUCAAAGCAUUUCAUCAAGAAAUGCAUUUUCAUUAUAUAAUCAAAACUCGGGAUGUCAUGUUCCGAUACAGACCAUAAAGCAUAAACGAUAACAUUACAAGUCAUUCAACAAAUAUAUACAUAUACAGACUUGUAAACAAAACAACUUGAUGAUUCAUCCAUCUUAUGCCCUUGCGCCACUACCUAUAAUACAAAUAAAACUGAGUGGGUCAGGCUUGGGAGCCUGGUGAGCAUAUAGGGUUUUCAACCCACAAUAAAUAAUUAUAUUUAAUUUCACCAACCAACAAUAACCCGAUUACCCAUUCCCGUUAUCCUCACUUUACGUCCCUAAAACAACAUCUAUCUCAAGGGACCUAAUCUAGGAUUUUCAUCGGGACGGACAUUAUUGCUAAGGGGUUUCCUCAACAAUAGAUGUCCUAAAGGUAACCAUGAGGGGGAUAGAGUACAAC
rnacentral:lncRNA from 1 species